UACGAAGGGGGCUAGCGUUGUUCGGAAUCACUGGGCGUAAAGGGCGCGUAGGCGGCUUUAUAAGUCGGGGGUGAAAGCCUGUGGCUCAACCACAGAAUUGCCUUCGAUACUGGAUGGCUUGAGACCGGAAGAGGUAAGUGGAACUGCGAGUGUAGAGGUGAAAUUCGUAGAUAUUCGCAAGAACACCAGUGGCGAAGGCGGCUUACUGGUCCGGAUCUGACGCUGAGGCGCGAAAGCGUGGGGAGCAAACAGG
rnacentral:rRNA from 1 species